AGAAGAACAGCGUACAGACAACCGUCCCUCUCCCUCGAUUCAGCCGAAUCCACGAGCCCCUUUCCCACUGUUACACUUUACACACCGGCGCGGCGGCCGGGAUCCCAUCUCACGCCCCUCCGGCAGGACCACCACCCGGGCUUCCCUCUGCAAUUUAGCCGAACCCAUUCACCCCCUUUUCCCCUGUGUACAGCCCGGCGCGGCGGCCGGGAUCCCAUCUCACGGCCCUCCGGCGGUACCACCGGCUCGGCUCCCCUCUGCUGUUCCCCGGGGACCGCUAGGGCUAUGAUCCCCUUCUACGUGUGGUGCCAUGGUCUGGAGCUAUUUCCGUGGUGCCAAAUCCAGACCGCGCACCUAUUUUAGCCACCGCUGCCCCCACGGGUCAGCGUUCUCUCAUCAUGAUCUCCCCCGGGUCACUGCGGAAGAUUAUAAUUGUUUCUAAUCCCGCUCUCUAUAUACUCCCAAGGUUUCCUGACGAUGUGUGGUAAGACGUCUUUUAUCAAGCCAUUUUGGAAUUCUUAAGAAGG